rnacentral:misc_RNA from 1 species
UCCGGUUUGUCACCGGCAGUCUCGCAUGAGUCCCCAACUAAAUGCUGGCAACUAAGGACAGGGGUUGCGCUCGUUGCGGCACUUAAGCCAACACCUCACGGCACGAGCUGACGACAGCCAUGCAGCACCUGUGCUAGCCCCCGAAGGACACGGGCUUUCACCCGCUUUAACUAGCAUGUCAAGCCCAGGUAAGGUUCUUCGCGUUGCAUCGAAUUAAGCCACUUGCUCCGCCGCUUGUGUGAGCCCCCGUCAAUUCCUUUGAGUUUUAGCCUUGCGGCCGUACUCCCCAGGCGGGGCACUUAAUGCGUUAGCUACGGCACGGAGGACGUUGAUGAUCCCCCACACCUAGUGCCCAACGUUUACGGCGUGGACUAC